UUUUAUGAGAGUUUGAUCCUGGCUCAGGACGAACGCUGGCGGCGUGCCUAAUACAUGCAAGUCGAACGCUUCUUUUUCCACCGGAGCUUGCUCCACCGGAAAAAGAGGAGUGGCGAACGGGUGAGUAACACGUGGGUAACCUGCCCAUCAGAAGGGGAUAACACUUGGAAACAGGUGCUAAUACCGUAUAACAAUCAAAACCGCAUGGUUUUGAUUUGAAAGGCGCUUUCGGGUGUCGCUGAUGGAUGGACCCGCGGUGCAUUAGCUAGUUGGUGAGGUAACGGCUCACCAAGGCCACGAUGCAUAGCCGACCUGAGAGGGUGAUCGGCCACAUUGGGACUGAGACACGGCCCAAACUCCUACGGGAGGCAGCAGUAGGGAAUCUUCGGCAAUGGACGAAAGUCUGACCGAGCAACGCCGCGUGAGUGAAGAAGGUUUUCGGAUCGUAAAACUCUGUUGUUAGAGAAGAACAAGGAUGAGAGUAACUGUUCAUCC
rnacentral:rRNA from 1 species